CCUCUUUCAUUCCGAUCGGCAUGGGCCUAUAUUGGGCAUGUCUCCGCAAGGGGACUAUGGUGAUAAACGCGCGCGUAAUAAGCGGUUCGGACCCGGGGGCGGUACCCGGCGGCUCCACCAAACACCCGUCGUUGGGGGGAUAUGGGGCCGAAACAGGAUCGACGGACGUGUAAAGGCGUUAUGCUUUCACUCGGCGGGACGCCACCGAUAUCGGCUCGAAGCACAUAGUUGCCAACGACAACCGUGCUCCGAUCGCUCUGGCUGCGUAAGCAGUCCGAAGGAUCGACUACUUAAGUCCCUGACCUUAGCCGGUCGGGGCGGGGUUCGCAGGCACCUGGCAACAGAAGCCUGCACU
rnacentral:tmRNA from 1 species